rnacentral:lncRNA from 1 species
GGAACAGAAAAGGUUCCAUGAUAUGUGCCUGCGUGAGACUUGAAAACUUGAAGUCAAAAUAAAUGCAAGAUAUUUCCUUUAACAGCCUCUGAACAGAGUAGAAGUCUUCGCAAUUACUGACUACCUGGGACUGACAGGAACUUGCAGGCAAACAUCUUGGCUUCAGACACUGCUUCCAAAUACACUGACUGUCAAUUACUUGUGAAGAUGAAUUUAGAAAAGAAUCAAAACAUUAACUACAAGGAGAAGAAUUAACACUGAGGGUCUGUGG